rnacentral:rRNA from 1 species
AGUGUAGGCGGUUUUUUAAGUCUGAUGUGAAAGCCCCGGGCUUAACCUGGGAAGUGCAUUGGAAACUGGAAGACUUGAGUACGGGAGAGGAAAGCGGAAUUUCGAGUGUAGGGGUGAAAUCCGUAGAUAUUCGAAGGAACACCAGUGGCGAAGGCGGCUUUCUGGACCGAUACUGACGCUGAGACGCGAGAGCGUGGGGAGCAAACAGGAUUAGAUACCCUGGUAGUCC